rnacentral:rRNA from 1 species
CAGUAGCCGCGGGAAUACCAGCAGCCCAAGUGGUGGUCGCGUUUAUUGGGCCUAAAGCGCUCGUAGCCUGGCCGGUAAGUUCCCCGUGAAAUCGGGUCGCCCAACGAUUCGGCUUGCGGGGAAUACUGUCGGUCUUGGGGCCGGGAGACGCCGAGGGUACUCCGGGGGUAGCGGUGAAAUGCCGUAAUCCUCGGGGGACUACCAGUGGCGAAGGCGCUCGGCGAUAACGGGCCUGACGGUGAGGGGCGAAAGCUGGGGGCGCGAACGGGAUUAGAUACCCCCGUAGUCCCUGUCUCUUAUA